rnacentral:lncRNA from 1 species
UACAACAAACAAAUCAUGUUCAAUACAAAAACAGUACAUGUUCAAUACAAGACACAUAGCCUACGAACGUGAACAAGGAAAUUACGAGCAAGUGACGUAGUUCACGCCCAGACACUAAUUGGCUGAUACGUUUGCCACUUUGCAAAUUGACUUUUUGGAAAACGUUUGGAUUACGUUUUGCCAAAUCUUUUGCAAAGCCUUUUGCGGAUUGAAAUGUCUUUUGAAUAUCGCAACACACGCAGCGUGGCGAAGUGGAUUGCAAUCAUGGGGACGCUAUAGCUUUUCAAUUUGAAUAAAGGAACUCAAAGAAUUUGACAAGGCUACAAUGACAUCAGGCAACAUGAGCAGCGAUGAAGAGAGGAGUAUGAGAGAGUGCGAGCAGUACGUGCAGAAACACAACAUCCAGCAGCUGCUGAAGGACUGCAUCGUCCAGCUGUGCACCUCGCGGCCAGACCGGCCAAUGGCUUUCCUCAAAGAGUACUUUGACAGACUGGAAAAGGUGAGGUGUCAAUCAUGAGCUGACAUCUUGGGAGUCUCGUGUGCAUUCUGCUCUGCUCUGAAGUCGGUUACCUUCGUAUUGGAUAUUAUAUGCUGCUGUCUGAAUGACCGAUGUGCUGCUCUCACAUUGGACUUGCUGCAGUUGUAUGCUGUGAUUUUGGUUUUUGAUCAUUUGGCGGGAUAACUUAAUAUUAGUGUCCUCGUGGACUCACCAACCUUCUGGAUUUUUAAUUAACCAUUUGACUAGCAACUGAUAUUGAAACAGGCAAAAAUGAUAUUAUAUUACGCAUGUAAAAUGUUGAUUUAGAAGCUUUUUUUUCGGGACCAUUAGAACAGAUUUAGAUGGCUUAGAAAUACAGACCAUCUACAGUAACCUUUAAAACAUACAUAUGUCUAAAUAGUCCCGAGGUUUCACGAUUGAAUGCUGCAGUAAAAGUCCUCAAGGAGUGAGGGAAUGGAAGCGCCCACUGACCGAGCGCUCCCCUCUGGGCCUCGGCCCGCGCCACCAGGAGGAGAGCAUGCAGAUGCUGCUGCAGCAGAAGGCCUCGGGCUCCCGCUCGGACUCCCGCUCGGACUCCCGCUCGGAGGAGGUCUCCCCCCCAUGAACCCCGUGGUGCGGGGGCGCCGCCGCCGCGGGGCCAUCAGCGCCGAGGGGUACAACGAGGAGGACGCCGCCUCCUACGUCAGAAAGCUGAUAUAUCAGAGCCGACUCCUGAGAGCAGACGUAUCUAAAGCUGUCAGGGAGGAACCAUGGCUACCAUCUCUGAACCGGACCCUGGACUCUCUGAGGAACCUGGGGACGCGUCUUUGGACCGGAGGGAGCGCAGGAAGAGAAGAUUUGCUGGUAGAGCAAAGAAGAAGGCUAAGUCCAGACGCCGUGGAAGCCGUCAGAGAGUAA